rnacentral:rRNA from 1 species
ACAGAGGGUGCAAGCGUUAAUCGGAAUUACUGGGCGUAAGGCGUGCGCAGACGGUUGCGUAAGUCAGAUGUGAAAGCCCCGGGCUUAACCUGGGAAUGGCAUUGGAAACUGGCUCGCUGGAGUGUGGCAGAGGGGGGUGGAAUUCCGCGUGUAGCAGUGAAAUGCGUAGAGAUGCGGAGGAACACCGAUGGCGAAGGCAGCCCCCUGGGCUAACACUGACGCUCAUGCACGAAAGCGUGGGGAGCAAGCAGGA